rnacentral:tRNA from 1 species
GUAAAUAUAGUUUAAAAAGAAAACAUUAGAUUGUGGAUCUAAUAAUAGAAGACUAUCACCUUCUUAUUUACC